rnacentral:rRNA from 1 species
UACAGAGACUGCAAGCGUUUAUUCGGAUUCACUGGGCGUAAAGGGUGCGCAGGCGGCCAAGUGUGUCAGGUGUGAAAUCCCGAGCUUAACCUCGGAACUGCGCCUGAAACUACUUGGCUAGAGUACUGGAGAGGGUAACGGAAUUCACGGUGUAGCAGUAGAAAUGCGUAGAUAUCAGGAGGAACACCAAUGGCGAAGGCAGCUCGCUGGGACGUUACUGACACUAAGGCGAAAGCGUGGGGAGCGAACAGG